rnacentral:rRNA from 1 species
UACAGAGGUCUCAAGCGUUGUUCGGAUUCAUUGGGCGUAAAGGGUGCGUAGGCGGCGCGGUAAGUCGGGUGUGAAAUCUCGGGGCUUAACUCCGAAACUGCAUUCGAUACUGCCGUGCUUGAGGACUGGAGAGGAGACUGGAAUUUACGGUGUAGCGGUGAAAUGCGCAGAUAUCAGGAAGAACACCAAUGGCGAAGGCAGCUCUCUGGGACGGUACUGACGCUGAGACGCGAAAGCGUGGGGAGCAAACAGG